UCCUGUCCUGUGGUUGAUAAAUAACCUAAGUUGCGAAGGCUCCCCAACCCCCCUCACUCUCCCCCGGAUUCCACAGUGUCCAGGUGCCCAGCGGACAUCAUACCUGAACGUCCGCAUGUGGUGGGGACCAGCAACCAUAGCCGGCUUUCUGCUGGUGACCAGGUGCCCACCGUGCUCCGAAUGAGCUCAGCAGAAAUGAACCCUGAGGACCCGCCACCAGGCAGCGAAGCGGCGAGGAGUUCUGGACCCGCAAGUCGCCCAACUCCCCCGCUCACCUCCCGAGCCUCAGCUCCUGGCCUCCACAGUCAGGAUACGGUCGGUCUUCCUGCCGGCGGCACAUGUGCCUGAAAAGCCUGCACGGCCUCUAAUGAGCGGGCAGAGCGUCCGUGUGUGAGCCCCACUCGGCCCAUCAGCAUUCGUGGGGACGUCUGUGAACCACGCACCUCUGUACCCCUCGCUGGUUCCGACGUGCAGGACGGAGGUGCAUCGCACCCCACUCAGGCUCUGCCGGUUUGCGUGUCGGUCCUUUGAGUCCUGUCGCUUCCCAGGGCCGGCAUCCCUGACAGCCGGGUCCCCAGGGCUGCUGCCCCACGCCUGCCUCCGGCUUCCCUGGCCAGCACCCCUCCGGUGCCGCUGCCCGUCCGACACUGAGACGGCCUUGUCACAGCUGCUGCAGGCAGAGCUCACUCACUUGCACUUAAAACCACGACUUGGAGCCGGCAGGAACACGUGAGAGCUCCCCUCCUACCGCCUUGUGAGCACAGCCCAGUGCUGUUAGCCACGGGCAUCUCUGGCACGGACCUUCCUGCACACCUGGACUGUUUGCACCUGGUGGACUACAAGCCCCGCCCCUGGGACCCACCGUUCUACCCUCUGCUGUUGAGCCUUUUUCAGUGAUGCCCUGAAACUCCAGGAAGCUUGGCUGUCAUGCUGCCCCCUCCCCUCUUAGCUCUGCCCCUCUGCAGCUCCUGGACCUUCUCCUUGGGGGCUUUUGUCCCCUCAGGCGGCCCUGCUGAACCGGGGAUGCCUCCCCUCAGCCUUAAAGACCUGUGGUCAGUCCAGGGAGGCAGCUUCUCAGCAGAACCCAGGUGGGGCUGGAGCCUGGAGGUCCCAGGCCCGGGAGUCCUCUGGGCCCGCGUCUGGGGAAGCCCCCACCCGCUCCAGCCUUCAUCCCCGUGUCUGAACUAUGUGAGCAUCAGAUGCCGACCGGGGGCCCAAGAAGGAGCCCCUCCACCAGCCAACGAGGGUCCCAGGGAGAGGCUGCUCCGGCAACUGUGAGGACCCCCAUGAGCCGUGAGGUGGGCGGGCUCGAGGGCACCUGAGCGUCUGGGGUGUCUGCAGUCCCUCUGUGCAGCCUGGCCCAGCUCUGGUCUCCCGUCACUGUCCUGUCACUGCGGCUUGACCCCGCAGGCCCCUGCGAUCUUCGUGGACGCUGCCUGCCGGACCCUGGGGAGAGGCUCAGUCCCUGAGUCGGCUGGAGGAGGCAGUCUGCAGCCGAGGCCACUGUCACCUGGAACUGGCAGGGGCAGGGCCUGAGCACCCGAGUUGAGCUCAGGUCUUCCCUGCCCCAGACGCACCAGGAUGAUUUCCAGGCAUGCAUCUUAAACUCAAGGUCCUUCGGGGCUUCUGCUACGUGUCCAAGAGCUAUCCAGGGCCCAGAGACCAGACCAGACGCCACAGUGCCCACGUGCACUUCAGGAAGCAGUGGGAAUCAGUAAGGUUCCUGGCGAGGAGCGCUCAACAGAAAACUGGAGCGGGACAGUGGGGGCCUUGAGUCUCAGGGGGCCAGGGAGGGGCAAGAACCUGACCUUGUCCCCAGCCUGCUGACUCCCGUACCACCGUCCGUGUCCAUGCCGGGAGGGGGUGAGGACCCAGGCCGGUCCCCCAACUGGACGUGAGGUCACCCUGUUGGGAUGAGCCUCUCCCCGCAUCACGACACAGGGGAGCCCAGGGAAAAUGUGGUGCCAGCCAUCUCGGGACCGUGACCCUCCAAUGUGGACAUUCAUGGGGACAGAAAGUCAGCAAGAUCACCUGGGAAGAGCCUGGGAAAGUGCUGAGGGAGAGAGCUCACCCUACCAGCCCCCAAGACGCGCCUGCUGUGGCACUGCCGCAGGAAGGAAGGCAGACCUUUGUAAGGAGACAGAAUCCUGGAGGGCACGUAGGAAGGGGCGGAUGCGGCCCCAGAGCAGCCAGGUCUCCGCGAGGGGGGCCCCUAAUCAAAGGCAAGGGAAACGUGAACGGCGGGAGGUUGUUUGCUCUGCUGGCUGUCUUCACGGUGAGUAGUUUCUACAGCUCGGGUUUUUACAAGGCAAAAAAAAAGGGAAGUGGCGUGAAGAGACAGUUCACAAUGAAAAGGAAGCAGCGAUGAAGCGAUGAAGCGUGCUUACUUGCCCGGCUCCCAACAGACAUGCAGAGUGUAACCGAGAGCAAUGUCACCAAGCACCUCCCGCCUCGGCCCCAAUCAGGGCCGUGGCCGCUCGUGAAGGUCAGGAAAUCUCAGAGAGUCUCGCUGGGGGUCCGUGGCCGCCUUAGACACGCUCUGUAAGAGCUCGGUUGCACACAGGCGACCAACAGCAUGCUUGCAUUUGGGAACAAAGUGCGUUAACAACCCUCCAUGGGAUCUUCCAAAUUUGCCAAAGCAGAAAAACAUGAGUGCCCAUCCAAAAGAAUUUGAAUAUAAGCCAUGAUGAGUCCUUAAAACCCAGGUGACACGGCCAUUCAACAGGACACACGCUCGAGGUGGGAGAGGAAGGUUUCUCAUCUACUGGCAUUUCACGCCCUCGUGGUCUCUGACCCGCUAUGACGUUCACCUGCCCUGGUUCCACCCAUCGGACGCGACCCCUGCUCCCAUCCUGGAUGGUGCUGCUGGUCCAGGAGCGAGAAGUCCUAGAGGCCCUGUGCUGUGUGAGCUGGAUUCCAGACGUGUCCCGUCCGACCUGCCCAACGUUCAGGGACACCUGGCCAGGCCAGCCCCUCUUGCUCGGCCAUUCCCUGAGCUGAUUUCACAGCCACCGCCAGUUAAGAGUGAGGUCGAAUGGAGCAGACACGAGCACCGUGGCCUGGGGACCCCGUUCCGGAACCCUGCACCCCCGCGUUGGGUGUCCCUGGGGGCCCACAGGCCCAGGAAGAGCUCAGUGGGCAGGAGCCAAGGUGUGUCCAUCCUGGGAGCGCCUGGGGUCGUUCUAAUCCGUGCAGUUUCUCAGCUGGCGCCUCCAGGGUCUCCUGGGGCUGAGCCGGUGGGGACUCUGGCUGAGAGAGCUGCUUUUCUUAGAUCCACGCAUCAUCAAAUGUAGCUGUUAAGGUCUACUUUUCAGCGGUUUUCCGAGUGUUGGUGGAGCUCUGCGACCGUCACCGCCGUUUCCACAGUUCACUGCCCCGAGGAAGAGCCUCUGAUCACGGGCAGAGAGGCCCCCAGCCGGCACCCCCGGCCCCUGGCGCCCACUGACCCACUUCCUGUCUCUGCACAUUUCACGUCAAGGGACUUGUCCGUGGUCCGUGCGUCCAGUUUCCUUCCGUCAGCCUGAUGUCCCUGCAUGUCCGGUCCCCACUCUAUGGGUGACUGUGCCCCUGCAGGGACAGACCACGUCUUGUUCUUCCGUCCGUCCGUCCAGGGACCCUGGAUUGUUGCCAGCUUUUCGCUGUGUGAGUGUUUCCCUGUGCACGUGUCUGCACAGGUGUCUGAGUGCCUGUCUUCACCUCUUUGGGGACACACCUAACACGGACUUGUUGGGUCAUAAGGUGACUCCACCUUUACCUUUUGGAGAAACUACCAAACUGUCCACGGCAGCUGCACCACGUUACAAUCCUGCCGGCAACACAGGAGGCCCCAGUGUCUCCCCAUCCUCGUUCUGCUGGUGGUAGCCAACUCCAGUGGGCGAGACGCCCUGUCCCCCUAUGGUUCUCCUGACGGCCACUGACGUCGAGCGUCUGUGCCUGUGUGCCUUGUUCUCUGCAGUCGAGUGGACUUGGGAGAGAUGUCUGUCCGAGCCCUUUGUUCGUUUUCUCCAAGGGCUGUCAGUCUUCUGAUGGCUGAGUGCUGAGUUGUUACACACACUGUAACCUCACCAGUGCUCCAGCUCAGCAGUCGGCCUGGGCUUCCAGCCCACUCCUCGCUCCUGGCUCCCCACAGCCUCCCCCACCCCCCGGGGCAGAGCUUCGAGGCGGCAGGGAGCGGUCUGUGAGCGGAGGGGAGCGUGAGCCUCGACCCACCUGCCCUGGAUGUCGGCCACCCCAGCGCCAUCUUCCUCUCCAACCAGACCGACUGCCGAGUUGCCUCCACGGCGCCAACUCCACACCGUUGGCUCUCUGGCGCUCUUCAACGCGGUGGCGUCUUUGGAGUUUGUUGUCUUGCAGCAUCGGACCUGGAGAAGCUGGAGACCAUCCUGGUGUCAGAAUGGGCAGAAGUAACAGCCAGAUACGCCAGAUGCAGGUGAGGCCCUUCCGGGGUCAGAGCCAGGGGAAGUGGGUACGACCCCGGUGGGAAGCAGCAGUGCAGGUGGGGCUCUCAGGCAGCAGGAGCAGGUGAGGGGGGCCAGUUUGGAGCUGGGCGACCUUCAGAAGGUGCUGGGCUUCCUCAGCUGCAGGGAGGGAGGAGCCACCCUGCCCCUCCUCCUCCACACCUGGGGCUCCAGGCUUGCCCUCACCACGAGGCCCCCCAGUGGACCCAUGGGAAGAUGCUGACCUCUGGCUCCACAGAGUCACCGACCAUCCAAGUUUGUUGUGGUGAGUCAUCUGGACAGCCCUGCAGCUCAUCUUGGGGACGAUUUCCACUGGCAGAAACAAGUCUCUGGAGGCAGGACCCAUCUCCCCAGCACAGGGCCUUGGGCCCUGGUGGCCACCGCGGGUCAGAGUCUGCACCAGGCUUGAGCUGAGGGAACUGGGGGACUGGCAGGGGCAGAGCUGGGCGCUGGUGCAGGCCUGGGCCUCAGCCACAUGGUCUCCACGCCUGCCUGGGGGAGGGGCCGGGGCAUCUGGUCAGCAGUGGCUCUACAGCAGGUGGCCACAGGGUGAUGGCACCUGGACACAGCUCUCCGAGGGCUCCAGGGGCCCAGGCGUGCACCCUUGGGGGACGGGCACGAGGGGCAGUGACAGGUGCGCCUCAGGCGCUGGAGGGACUGUCAAGGGUGCUGGGCAGGUAGGACCCGGCCUCAGAAGCUCAGGGACGGUGAGGGAGGCAGGUGGAGUUUGCAGCCGAAGAUGACCUGCCCCAGGGUCUGGUGCGGGGAGGAGAUUUGGGAGAGGAGGCCAGGCCCGGUGGGGGACAGCGGGGACCAGAUGACCCUUGUGUGUACCUAGUCGGAGCUGGCCUGCAGCGGGGCUGAACUGCUGUGGGAGGGCAGCCCGGAACAGGGCAAGGCCUCGGGGAACAACUCACCUGAGACACCUGGGCUCUCAGGCAGACGAGGGGAAGGGGAGGGGCAAAGUGGGGUGACCUGCAUCAGCAGGAGGGGGCGCCUCUUGAGGGGGCUGCUGUGGGACCGCAGCCCCUCCUGAGCCAGCACCAGGCAUCUCAGCUCCCGCAGAGGAUCCCGCCUCCAGCCGGGCUGUGUCAGCCCUCUGCCCGGCCACCAACACCCUCCUAGGGUCAGCCAUUCCCGUGGAGUCUCUGGGGAUGAGAUCUUGGGGUUGAUGGGGGUGGGCCUGGGCCUUUGGGGCAGCUGGCCUGGUGCAGGUCCUCGCGGCUCUGCGUCUCCUGCCUUCCAGGGAGGAGCAGCUGCCCAGCCUCAGCAUCCGAGGCCCCAGCACCCAUGAGGCAAGGGUGAGCACCCAUCCUCACUGCCCAGGCAGGAGUUGGGAGGCAGGAGGCGGUUGUGGGCGGCGCUGUCUCCGCCCCUGACUGCAGAGCUGUCAAGAGGCGUCCUUGAGCUGUGAGGGGCCUUUCCUGGCUCCUUGAGUUCACUCACAGCAGGGCCACGCUGGGAGAGCUGGCAGCCUGGCUAACACCACCAGCUCCCAUUUUGCAGCAAAAGGCCCAGGCAGCAGCCAGGCCUCCGUCGGCACCAGGAAGUGCUCUCCAAAGCCCCGCGCCUCGGAGAGGAGAGGGCCCGGCGACGGCCGGCGCGGAGAACAGCAAGGCAGGCGCGGGCCGUGCGUCCCGAGGUGGCCACCCCUCGGCCCGCACCGUCCUCUCACCGGGAGACACCUGGCUGAGCGGCCCCUGCUCACCCCCGAAGCUGGGUGCCCCUGUCACAACCUUGGCCCAAGGAGUGCGGCUGUGUCACUGGAGCUCUGAGGCCAGGCCCUGGUGACUCAGCGCCACCUGCCCUCGGGGCCCGGAGCCACCACCCGAAACGUCCACCACCCUAGGGCCACCAUGCUGCCGGCCUCACAGAGACAGGAGCCCAGGGUGUGAGGACGAGUGUGAGGGGCCCCGCCGCCCCCGGCACCUGCAAACCUGGCCAGAGAGUCUGGGAGGUCUCCUGUUAUGGGCCAGGUGGGCGUUGUGUUCGACCUGUUAUCCUAGAAGGCAGUCCAUCGGGAUGGGGGACUCGUUUAAUGGCUUCGGAGAAUCACACCACCAUAACUGGGGAAGGCCGUGGACACUAGGGAAGAGGCCAGUCGAGUGAGAGAGGAGACACUUAGGAAAGAAAAAACUGACAACCAGAACUGUAUCUCACUUUAAACCUUUCACUCUGCAAAAGGCCCUGUUAAGAGAAUGUAAAAGAGCUACAGACUGCGAGAAAAUCUUGGCCAAUCAUGUACCUAAUAACGCUCUUAUGCAGAAUAGAAACAAAAACUCUAAAACCCAAUAAUAAAACACAUGAGCCCAUUAAAAAUGGCCACAAGAUAUGAACAGACAGUUCAACAAAGGAUACACACACACACACAUACACACAUAUAAUGCAGAUACACGGUGUCUGUAUGUACACAGCAGACAAACACAGGAAAAAUGCUUAUUCUGGAAACAACACGGUGCCACCUCACACCUGCUAGAAAGGCUGAGACCCGGAGCAGUGGCAGCACCAAAUGUGGAGAGGAUGUGGAGCAACAGGAACUCCCAUCCAUCACUGUUCGGGAUGCAAAUGGUGCAGCUGCUUUGGAAGACAGUUUGGUGGUUUCUUAGAAGACUAACCAUCUGUUACCAUGAGAUACAUUAAUCAUGAGUUACCAUGAGUAUCUUCCCAGAUAACUGAAAAUGUGUAGCCACGUAAAACCAGGAUGCAGUAUUCACUGCUUCAUGCAUGAUCACUAAAAACCAGAAGCCGCCAAGAUGGUGUCCAACUGGAGAAUGGACAGACUGUGGAAUUCCCUAACAAGGGACUACAGGUCAGUGAUGCUACUGGUUCACUCAACAGCUUGGAUGAAUUGUAGCCACAUUCUGCUGAGUGAAGAAUCCAGACCCGUGUAGGACUCCGCUCACAUGACGCCCUGGAAGAGGCACGGCCGCGGGGAAGCUGAGAGUCAGCGGGCCCCAGGGCUGAUGGAGCGGGGCCCAGCUGGACCAAGGCUGUGCCCGCUCCACACGAGAUGGAAACCACGGAGCUGUACGUCCCAAGACUGAACUGUUAGGUAGGCAAACUGAAAAAGGAGAAAAUAAAACCUCGUCAAACUGGA